UACAGAGGUCUCAAGCGUUGUUCGGAUUCAUUGGGCGUAAGGGUGUGUAGGUGGCGCCGUAAGUUGGGUGUGAAAUUUCGGAGCUUAACUCCGAAACUGCAUUCGAUACUGCGGUGCUUGAGGACUGGAGAGGAGACUGGAAUUCAUGGUGUAGCAGUGAAAUGCGUAGAGAUCAUGAGGAAGACCAGUGGCGAAGGCGGGUCUCUGGACAGUUCCUGACACUGAGACACGAAGGCCAGGGGAGCAAACGGG
rnacentral:rRNA from 1 species